rnacentral:lncRNA from 1 species
UGGAGGCGAGUGGGCGGGCGCUGGCGCCCGGCUGAAAGAUGGCUGCCGCCGCCCGGCAGCCACCGCCCCGGAGGUUACUGUAGGGCCUGCGGCUUCCGCCCGUGCUCGCGGACCACCGCCACCGCCUUACCAUGAAGCCAGUGAGUCGCCGCACCCUAGACCGGAUUUAUUCCGCGUUGCUCCUCGCGGUCGUAUUGCUCUCCUGGGGAUACGUCAUCUAUGCAUCAACUGUAGCUGCACGACGACAACUAAGCAAGGAAUACCCAGACAAAAUCUUCGGGAUGAACGAAAAUUUGUAAUUCCUCUGGAUUUGACUUCAUGCAUAUACAGUUCUUUACCUCUGUCUGGUACAUGUCUCGAUUUGAAGUAAAAUCUUUAAUACAAUGAUUCCAAAUUCA